UACGCGGUGGGUGUUUAGUGAUAGGUCAAUGAUAGGAACCGGUCGGCGGUCCUUGCUGACGGAGGUGGUGGGCAAUGAGGAUCAGGUAGAGGUCUGUGAAAGUAGGUCGAGGCCGCGUCGGUGGGUGGGAGAGGGCCGGUGGAGAGGUCAAUGUGGUGCGGAGUGGUCAAGCUGGAGAGACGUCGUCGGCAGCGACCCCAGCUCUACAGGCACUCGCACUGCUAACCCCACUACUCUGGGGAGGAGCCGUUCAAGCGCCUGGACCGCCCGUUGCUCAUGUCGUUCGAGUUCCCCCACUUCUUCGUCCGCCGGAAGGAGCUCUUCCUCGAGUCGCGUUACUUGCGGCGUGAGCUCUUCUACCUCCAGUACCUGCUCGAACUAGGGCACCGAUCCCUGACCUCCCUAGUACAGGCCCUCUACAGUAUGCUGUACCUCUUGACGUAGCUACUGAAGGACGCGGUCAAACCUUCACCAUUACGUUUCGAUCCUAAGUAGUUCUUCUGCCGGGCUGCAGAGUUCUACAACCCUGUCGAGGUAGCCUAACGGCUGGCGUACCUUCUCGAGUUCCGAGAACGCGAUCUGCGUUUACUUGCUGCGGAGUCCAUGUUCAAACUUCUGGCGUUUGGACUAAGAUCGAAACAACGAUAACUAGGAGCGUACUGUCGUUAUAUACACCUUCGACGACCGGAACACCCGUAGCUGCCAGGUUGACUCCUCGAACAGUUAAACGACAGUCUAUGAGUCCUCUUCGAGUUUCACCACAGGUAGCACCCUAAGCCUCCUGACCCAUUUUGAUGUGACCGGUUUUUCCACAUGCUACUCUAGUUUCCCCUCAAACUUACAUGUAGUAAACAAAGACAUAGGGUUUCUGGUUUAUACUGCCCCGAAGAGGUAGCAUAUGUUGAUUUUGAACCCUACUUAGUCAGAAGAGCCCAGAUACUCCACGUUCUGUAAUAACUUCUCGAAUUCCUUAUAGAGUGUCUAUUUUCCAUGGAAUAACAUAACCUACUGAACACCCUGGUCAGUCGUACCUUAUGAUAGUCAGCGUGUAAAGGUCUUUUACGAUUAUCCUCAUCUCAUGACCAAUGGUGUGCACACCUUCCGCACCGAACACCUCGUACAACGUUAGUCGGACCCACGUAAAUGUCUUACCUCGGGGAACUGCUCCAUCUGAGCUUUCUCAACAAAAAAGUAUCUCACAUACCCAGACUUCUACUGGCAAGUAGGGUUAAACUUCUUUAGAGUCGAUUCUAAGAUUUCUUCACACCACCCGAGGGUGAACGUUAUUAAUGAUAUCGAUCGGAUAAUCGAUGAGCAGGACUUUCCAAUUCCCUACUCACCCUCUCGUAGUUCUUAAGAGAACCUUGGGUCAAACACCAUUUGGGGUGAAACCUACCCCAUUUCUUAUAUAAUUUGGAAUCGAUGUAGGUAGAAGGGGAAGUAGAGGCCCGUACAAACGACGUGGAACCAAAUAUAGGUCUUCUAGUACUCUAGCUCUCCCUACUAAACCAAGCUGUUACCAGUCGACUUCCUGAACAGUCAUUUAACGUACCCUUUCUGAGACUCUAACAACGCGUUUCGAUAAAAUUACUAGAACAGUUGUCUUCGAACUAAGUCGGACCUGCAUGGAGCCUACCGCUCAACCAUAGUACGUCUCAUGUACUAUACUACGAGCUAAACUAGGAUUCGUUCACACUUCUCGUAUUAAAAGACUAUCAACUUACGUUAGGACUUCUCUACCAUUCUCUAGUACCGGCUUUUAUAUUCUGUGCAGCAUAUAGGUACUUGAAGUCAUUACCACCACGUCGUCUACUCUGUUGUAGUUCCUGAUAAGGAAGAUCGGAUAGUGUUCAAGCUAGUGAACGCGAAAAGCCCCUUAGGUUCAUGUACGGGGGAGAAAACGUAAAAUUCAUAGAGUCCCAGGAAGAGAAGUUUUCAAACCCGGUGUUUCAUUAACUAGAGUGCCUAUAACCGGUUGACAAGCUUGACUCCAUAAAUUUUCAAAGUAGAUUUCCUUUUCAGUUUGAGGGACGGCUUUACGUUCCCGAACACGUAAACCUCUGUGAUCUAAAUCUAACGUACACCCGGUAUCUUUAGGGUAGCCUAUAUCAAUUGAACGGGGCGAAUAGGGUGAACCUUCAAGGUAUGCCUACGUUUCACGGAUUUCCCUAGUCCUUUUACUUUAGUAACGUGUGAAACUAACCCAAAAUGGACCCGGGCUCAAGUAACCUCCUAUAACUCCCUGAGCCACUCGAAUGGUUAGACUCUGCGGACCCCGAGAGUCACAUAAAAGAUCUGCCUGAACUCUAUCGUCGUACCCAACGAAACCGCGUAAGAUAACUCUACAACGUACUAGAGUCUAUAGAGUCGUAGUAAACGGUACGGCGAAUAUGCUCACUGGAUGAUCUGAGUAAUAGUUUAGGAAGAGCAGUAUACUUCCAUGAAUUCGACACAGGUGAAUCCUACGGAUCUCAAGGGUUCACCUAAACACCAGAGGUUACGGAGACGGCCGAUCUCGACUUACAGCUGUGCACAUGACUGCUCAACGUGCGAGAACCUCUCGACGGGAGAGAGCAGGUGGAGUUUAAUGCCUACACCUCAUAGGGACUUCUGUCGACACAGUGAAAGAGGCGCCCUAGUAAAGGCCAAGACCUCCAGAUACUUAAACUUAGUCUCAUACUACAAUGACGCAUGGACCAGAAACGCCGUCCCCGAUACGGGUUUGAUUCAAACGAACAUGAUGUCAAGCUGUUCGCAUUGACCCCGCCGCGAUGUGGUCAACCGAACCUCGUGGACAACUCGGAGCUCAUAUAGUAACAUGCAUGGUAGACGCCGGAACUUCUUCACUACCUAUUUCGUCUCUAUCUCAGACGGAAGUCCUUGACAUGCCUCCACGUAGGUUUGGCAGGAGACAAAGUGUAGAGUUUAUCUCGUGCUAUUUUUGUCUACCAGCAUACCGCACUGUGGUGAAGGAAAGACACCGGCGAGCACGCUAGAAUGGGUUUAAGGCGCGUUCUGGCCGGUAUAAGCUCGGCCCUCCAGCGUUUAGCACCACCAAGACGACGUUUCCGGUCUUCUCUCUCCGGUACGGGAGGAACCCACUAGGGAGCAGCUCCGGCUCCUUCUCCCGCUCCGCCUCUAAUAAGAAGAGCACCGCCUCUAGCAGUAGCGGCCUCAUCAGACUUCGUCCCUAGGCCGCACACCGCCCCACGACGAUGACGACGACCGGAGGAGGACGUCGAAGACCUGCGCCUCCGACGCCGGUAAGAACACGAAGGAUCCGCCUGGCCUCCUUCUCGCCAGGAUAACGCCGCCCGCGACGUCCUUCUGCCGCUCCCGUACCGCCACCUCUGGUCCUUUAUCCUGCCGCCGUUAUCGCCGCCCGCCUGCUCCUGCUGCUUGCGCCAAACCUUGACCGGUUCGAGGCGAGCCGCCAGCGGCCCGAGCUACCGAGGUUCGAGCCGCCAGCGGCAAGGAGUUCAAGGAGUGGCCAUGCACUCUACCGAGUUCUUCGAAGAAGUUAGAACGGAGUCAAGCCUUCACCAGUUCGUUUUACACCGGCUUUCAACGUCCGUUCGGCUCCGACACCUGCAACCGCAAGAUAAGUCGGUUUAAGCAGCGCUGUCAAGAAGUCCAUAAGGAAACUUCACCUACCCUGUUUUGUUUUUGGAUCGACGUUUGUACAAACUUUACCGAGGACUUUCACGAGGGAGGCAGUAGAGGUAGAUACUUUAACUAAUAAAAACACCUGUUAUACCUCUUCCGUUACUUUCACUCAUCCAGUCCUGAGUUAUCAGUUCUGCCUCGACGACCAGGUCUUGAGGUCUACGUGCACUGCAGAAGUCUGUUGUAACAUCUCGUGGAAGGUUACAGAACAAAAUAGCUGUUUAGCAGGCCUCUAAGCAGGAAGUAAGUAAAUUCAUCUUAUGUCACCGAGUCUAAUAAUACCCUUUUGAUUGGGCGUACGUACAUACACAAAAGCUUAAACUUUACUUUAUUAUCGUAAACAG
rnacentral:rRNA from 1 species